AAAAAAGAAGGAAAAAUUGGUCUAGCCCAUUAGUCAAAUAAACAAGGCAUACACCACAAACUCGGACAUGGGGUUAGACCCGUAUCUAUUUUUGGCUGGAUAAAUCCUGUCCGACAUAUUUUAAACGUUGGGCCUCUUGUCCGGCUUCAGCUUUAAAAAACGACAACGUGCAUUCGUGACCCAACUGCCAGCGGAUUUACUACCCCAAAUAAACGACGUCGAUGCUGAAAGCAACACAGUCAUUAUUAGCGUCGUCUAGAUAGCUCUCUCUUCUUCCUCGCGCCGAGUCUGCCUUGAGCCUCUUUGGCUGUGUAUCCAGACAUGGGGAAGAAGACGAAAAAGCCAGGAAAAGGCAAAGAGAAAGCAGCGAAAUCUGAGGAAAAGAGAGCUCACAGAGAGACUAGAAGCUCUCACCUGAGGAUGACAUCGAUGCCAUUUUGAGAGAUGAGAACGGGAACUCAAGAUCUUAGGCGCUUAUCGCUGAAACAAGACAUGUUCGGCGAGGGUUCUCCGAUGUGCCAUUUUCUUCACUGUCCUCCUAAUAGCUAAUACUGAUAGAUACAACUUACAAGAGUUGAAUUGUCUCAUAUAGGAAAGGAAAGCCUUGGAUGUUCCACUCAACGACCAGAUGCAAAUGUCACCUAACCUAAUUAAGGAGAGAAGUAAUAUUAUAUUAACUAGGUUCGUGAGAUGAGAUGCUAACUAACUUAAUACUUAUGCAUCCUUCCGAACCAAAAGAAUAGUAUCAUUUGACACUAGAUCAUAAGCAACCUAAUCAUGAAUUUUGAAUAUCAAUGUUAUUGGAUCAUUUUGAUUUGCGUC